rfam:Triticum aestivum genome assembly, contig: Triticum_aestivum_CS42_TGACv1_scaffold_221475_3B
UAGAUACUCCCUCCGUCCCGAAAUACUCGUCGGAGAAAUGCAUAAAAAUGGAUAUAUCUAGAACUAAAAUAUGUCCAGAUACAUCCAUUCGUCCGACAAGUAUUUCAGGAUGGAGGGAGUACGUA